rnacentral:rRNA from 1 species
AACGAACGCUGGCGGCAGGCUUAACACAUGCAAGUCGAGCGCCCCGCAAGGGGAGCGGCAGACGGGUGAGUAACACGUGGGAACGUACCUUUUGCUACGGAAUAGCUCCGGGAAACUGGAAUUAAUACCGUAUGUGCCCUUCGGGGGAAAGAUUUAUCGGCAAAAGAUCGGCCCGCGUCUGAUUAGCUAGUUGGUGGGGUAAUGGCCUACCAAGGCGACGAUCAGUAGCUGGUCUGGGAGGAUGAUCAGCCACACUGGGACUGGGAAACGGCCCAGACUCCUACGGAAGGCAGCAGUGGGGAAUAUUGGACAAUGGGCGCAAGCCUGAUCCAGCCAUGCCGCGUGAGUGAUGAAGGCCUUAGGGUUGUAAAGCUCUUUCGCUAGGGAAGAUAAUGACGGUACCUAGAGAAGAAGCCCCGGCUAACUUCGUGCCAGCCGCCGCCGUAAUAC